GAUGAAGAACGCAGCGAAAUGCGAUAAGUAAUGCGAAUUGCAGAAUUUCCGUGAGUCAUCGAAUCUUUGAACGCACAUUGCGCCCACUGGUAUUCCGGUGGGCAUGCCUGUUCGAGCGUCAUUACAACCCUCAAGCUCUGCUUGGUAUUGGGCCCCGCCAGUUCUGGCGGGCCCUAAAGUCAGUGGCGGUGCCUUCCGGCUCCGAGCGUAGUAAUUCUUCUCGCUCUGGAGACCCGGUUGUGUGCUUGCCAACAACCCCCAAUUUUUUAAGGUUGACCUCGGAUCAGGUAGGGAUACCCGCUGAACUUAAGCAUAUCAAUAAGCGGAGGA
rnacentral:misc_RNA from 1 species